CCCUUAGAUGUCCUGGGCCGCACGCGCGUUACACUGACGCAUUCAACGAGCUUAUAACCUUGGCCGAGAGGCCUGGGCAAUCUUGUUAACGUGCAUCGUGAUAGGGAUAGAUUAUUGAAAUUAUUAAUCUUGAACGAGGAAUUCCUAGUAAACGCAGAUCAUCAAUCUGCAUUGAUUACGUCCCUGCCCUUUGUACACACCGCCCGUCGCACCUACCGAUUGGAUGGUCCGGUGAAGCCUCGGGAUUGUGGUUCUUGCCGCUUUAUUGUGGCGUGACCGCGAGAACUUGUCUAAACCUUAUCAUCUAGAGGAAGGUGAAGGCGUAACA
rnacentral:rRNA from 1 species